rnacentral:rRNA from 1 species
GAUGAACGCUAGCUACAGGCUUAACACAUGCAAGUCGAGGGGCAGCAUGACGAUAGCUUGCUAUUGUCGAUGGCGACCGGCGCACGGGUGAGUAACGCGUAUCCAACCUUCCCGUUGCUAGGGGAUAACCUUGCGAAAGUAAGACUAAUACCCUAUGAUGUUCUUCGCAGACAUCUAAAGAGAACCAAAGAUUUAUCGGCAACGGAUGGGGAUGCGUCUGAUUAGGUUGUUGGCGGGGUAACGGCCCACCAAGCCCACGAUCAGUAGGGGUUCUGAGAGGAAGGUCCCCCACAUUGGAACUGAGACACGGUCCAAACUCCUACGGGAGGCAGCAGUGAGGAAUAUUGGUCAAUGGGCGCAAGCCUGAGCCAGCCAAGUAGCGUGAGGGAAGACUGCCCUACGGGUUGUAAAACCUCUUUUGUUUGGGAAUAAAGUGCGGGACGCGUCCCGCAUUGCAUGUACCAUUUGAAUAAGGACCGGCUAAUUCCGUG